CGCACCUUUAUUUUUCAAGGUCCUAGCCCACGUAGACUGACACACGCAUGCGCCUGGCCUCCUCCAUACACCAUUCUAGAAUCUGUCCUUCCUUCAGGCCACUCCUAUUCUUCGGCUGACCCCUAGUGGUCACGUGGAGCUGCUCGCCACGCAAGUCUGGGUCCUGCGAUCCACCGGGGUCCUCGCUGCCUGGGAGUCGUUCCUAAGCUGCCUGUUCGCGCGAGAGUAGAUGGACGAGUUUGGGGUCCGACUCGGGCGUGAGGCUUGCACUGCAGUACGUCGGACCGCUGCUUAGGCGCCCACUUAGGGUGCUGUGAGCUGUUCAGGCGGUCGCCAGGGCACCCCGUGCCUGAAAAGCGCCGGAGCGCUCUGGAGAAGCCCGGACAGCCCUACUCCUCCGCAGCCAGGUGCUAGGGUCCAGAACUAAAGUGAGAGGUCGACCGUCUUUCAGCGCCUGGGCCACCGCGGCGGCCCUGGGAGCAGAGGUGGAGCAACCCCAUUACGUUAAAGAUGAAAGGCUGGGGUUCGCUGGCCCUGCUUCUGGGGGUCCUGCUGGGAACUGCCUGGGCUCGCAGGAGCCAGGAUCUACACUGUGGAGCUUGCAGGGCUCUGGUGGAUGAACUAGAGUGGGAAAUUGCCCAGGUGGAUCCCAAGAAGACCAUUCAGAUGGGCUCUUUCCGAAUCAACCCAGACGGCAGCCAGUCAGUGGUGGAGGUGCCUUAUGCUCGCUCAGAGGCCCACCUCACAGAGCUGCUAGAGGAGGUAUGUGACCGGAUGAAAGAGUACGGGGAACAGAUUGACCCUUCCACCCACCGCAAGAAUUACGUACGUGUAGUGAGCCGGAAUGGAGAAUCCAAUGAGCUGGACCUACAGGGCAUCCGAAUUGAUUCAGACAUCAGUGGCACCCUCAAGUUUGUGUGUGAGAGCAUUGUGGAGGAAUAUGAGGAUGAACUCAUUGAAUUCUUUUCUCGAGAGGCUGACAAUGUUAAAGACAAACUUUGUAGUAAGCGAACAGAUCUAUGUGACCAUGCCCUGCACAUAUCGCAUGAUGAGCUAUGAAUCACUGGAGCAGCCCAGACUGACAAGCUUGAUGGAUCACCCCCAGGAGGGGAAAAGGUUGUUCCUUCUACAUCAGAAACCUUUGUAGCACAAGAUUUCAUCUAGCAGUUAUUAGUGCAUUAUGUUUGCUUCAUCAAUUUAGCCAGUUCUGCUAGCUUG